AAACUCCAUCUCUUAGCUAUGAGUUUUUUUUUUUUUUUUUUUUCUUGUUUCCCUUAUUACUGUCUUGAGUUUCCUUUCUGUGCUGUGAUAAAAUACUGACAAAAAAAGCAGCCUGGGAUGGGGAGUAUCAUUUGUUUACACUUCCUGAUCACAAGUCCAUCAUUGAGAGAAGUCCAGACAGGAACCUGGAGGCAGGAACUGAAGCAUAGGCCAUGGCGGAAUACUACAUAUUGGCCUGCUCUCCAUGGCUUGCUCAUUCUGCCUUUUUAUACAACCCAGGACCACUUGCCCAGGGAUGGUACUACUCAUAGUGGUCUGGACCCUCCUUCUGCAUCAAUUACCAUCAAGCUAGUCUGAUGGAGACCUUUUCUCAGCUGAGGCUCCCUCUCUCCAGAUGACCAUAGCUUGUGUUGACAGAAAAGCAAGCUAGUACAAUUGUACUAGUUAAGAAAAGUUUUAUUUCACUUCAUUCCUGAUUAAAGCAAUGGUGUUUUUAAUGUGACUACAGGUGCAAAAGAAGAGGAAAAACUCAAAGAAGACAGUGACACUGUUUCUCAGAGCAGUGUGCCUAAAACAGAGGCUAGUGAGACUUCUGAUGAGACCGUAAGAGAUACCACCAAAAUUCCAGUCAAUAGGCCUGACACUGACAGAGAGAAACAUACUGAGAA